GAUGAAGAACGUAGCAAAAUGCGAUACUUGGUGUGAAUUGCAGAAUCCCGUGAACCAUCGAGUUUUUGAACGCAAGUUGCGCCCGAAGCCUUUUGGCCGAGGGCACGUCUGCCUGGGUGUCACGCAUCGCGUCGCCCCCCCACAAUUCUCCGUAAAGGGAACAUGUGUUUUGGGGGCGGAUAUUGGUCUCCCGUACUCAUGGCGUGGUUGGCCGAAAUAGGAGUCCUUUCGAUGGACGCACGAACUAGUGGUGGUCGUAAAAACCCUCGUCUUUUGUUUCGUGCUGUUGCUCGCAAGGUAAACUCUUUAAAAACCCCAAUGCGUCGUCUCUUGACGACGCUUCGACCGCGAACCCAGGUCAGGCGGGACUACCCGCUGAGUUUAAGCAUAUCAAUAAGCGGAGGA
rnacentral:misc_RNA from 1 species